CCCCGUCCAAGGCUGCAUCCCGGCCCUAUCCCGGGUCACGGAGUGACCCUUCCUCGUCCCGAUCACCCCGUCCGAUCCACCCGCCAUGGGCUUCUUAGAGGAGGAGGGCAGCUGGAACCUGUCCUUCUCCGGCGCCGGCUACCUGGGCGCCUACCACGUGGGCGCCACCGAAUGCCUGCGUCAGCGCGCCCCGCGCCUCCUCCAGGGCGCCCGCCGCAUCUACGGUUCCUCGUCUGGGGCGCUCAACGCAGUCACCAUCGUCUGCGGCAAGUCGGUCGACUUCUGCUGCUCCCACCUUCUGGGCAUGGUUGGGCAGGUGGAGCGGCUCAGCCUAAGCAUCCUGCACCCGGCCUACGCACCCAUCGAGCACAUCAAGCGGCAGCUGCAGGACACUCUGCCCUCCGACGCCCACGUCCUGGCCUCCCAGCGGCUGGGCAUCUCGCUGACCCGCUGGCCCGACGGCCGCAACUUCUUGGUCACUGACUUCGCCACCCGCGAUGAGCUCAUCCAGGCCUUGGUCUGCACCUCAUACAUUCCUUUCUACUGUGGGCUGAUCCCCCCUGAGUUCAGAGGGGAGCGCUACAUCGACGGGUCUCUGAGCAACAACUUGCCCUUUGCGGACUGCCCCUCCACCAUCACGGUGUUGCCCCUCCAUGGGACAGUGGAUAUCUGCCCCCAGAGCACCUCCCCCAACCUGCAUGAGCUGAACGCCUUCAACUCCAGCUUCCAAAUCUCCACUGAGAACUUCUUCCUGGGGUUCAUGUGUCUCAUACCCCCCAGGCUCGAGGUAGUGGCCGACAACUGCAGACAAGGCUACCUGGAUGCCCUGAGGUUCCUGGAGAGACGUGGACUCACCAAGGAACCAGUGCUAUGGACGCUGGUGUCUAAGGAACCCCCAGCCCCGGCUGAUGGAAACUGGGAUGCUGGCUGUGACCAACGCUGGAAGGGGGGCCUGUCUCUCAACUGGAAAGUGCCCCAUGUGCAAGUCAAGGACGUACCCAACUUUGAGCAGCUCUCACCAGAGCUGGAGGCUGCACUGAAGAAAGCAUGUACGAGGGAUCCCAGCCGGUGGGCCCGCUUCUGGCGCUCGGGACCUGGACAGGUGCUGACGUACCUGCUGCUACCCUGCACGCUGCCCUUAGAGUACAUCUACUUCCGCAGCAGAAGGUUGGUGAUGUGGCUGCCUGACGUGCCGGCGGACUUGUGGUGGAUGCAGGGCCUGCUGAGGAACGUGGCGCUUGAGGUUUUCUCCAGGACCAAGGCCCAGCUCCUUGGGCCCAUCAGCCCUCCGGCCACUGGAGUCCCGGAAACAAGCCCCCUCCAACCCCAGAGAGCUCCUCAUAGAGAGGAGCUCAGGCCCACCCAUCAGGCCUGAGGGGGCCGAGCAGGGCCAGCCCAGUGACUGCUGUCCCUUGAUUCCUGCUCUGGCCUUUGUCCUGUGUGCCCACAUCUGCCCCAGCGGGAAGAAGCCCUGCCAAUCUCCAUGGAGACCCUGCAGCUUGGAGGUGGUUCCUUGGGGCGCAGCCUGUCAGCAUGUCCCCGGUGACUGUGUACCCAGGUCACCUGCCCUCCCUCUUGCCCCGUCUCAUCCGGCAGAGAAAGGACAGCCACAGAGACACACGUCUUACUUCCAGAAUUUCCACGGGGGGACUAGGAGGGCAGCACUGCUGGGGUGAGGGGCUCCUGUUCUGCCGUGGAGCUGCCCACGGAGCACCUCACAGAAGACGGAGAAAGUGCCUGAUGCCUGCGUCAGAGACCAGAGGAGCCAAUUGAGAUGAUGGGGUGGGGGUGCUCCCCCCAAACUCUUUCUCAGUCCUGCAGCGGCCCUUGAGGGUGACCCCCGGGAUCUACCCCACUCCGGAAACCUUGACUUCUGACUUCCUAUCAGGUCCAGAGGGUGGAAGGCCCUGGCAGGAAGCAGGAGGAGGAGCAGAGGGGGGUCCGUGUCUUUUCAGGAUCCCAGCUGUGGGUGCUUCCUUUGGGCCCAGUGGCCCCUGCUGCCCCGACAGCCUCAUUCCUGCAGAAGGUUUGUGAUGUAGCUGUGCCUCUACCUGGGGCAGAGAGGAUGCCAGGGACACCAGGCCUCUGGCCUCUCCACAAGUCACUGCUCUCCUCAUUGGCAGAGCGGGACCCAUGCUGUGCCCCUGGCCAGGCCCUAAGGAAAUGCUCAGCUUCAGUGGAGAUGGGGAGGUUAGAGAGAUGGAGGCGUGAGUGAGAACGGGAAGCAAAGGAAUACACGUGGGAACUAAAGAGAAAAUGACCGGCCUGGGCAGCAUAGCAAGACCCUGUCUCUAAAAAAAAAAUAAAAACUUGGCUGGGCAUGAUAGUGCAUGCCUGUGGUCCCGGCUACUUGGGAGGCUGAGGUUGGAGGAUCAUUUGAGCCCAGGAGGUCGAGGCUGCAGUGAACCAUGAUCACACCACUGCACCCCAGCCCAGGCAACAAAGUGAAUCCCUGUCUCUAAAUAAAUAAGGAGACAAUAAGCCACUCAUUCAUUCUUUCAUUCAUUUAUUCAGCUUAUGCUUAGCGAGUUAUAGGCCUGGAGACACAGCCUUGAAGAAACCUUACAUUCUGGUGGGCGUGCAGGAGCAGAUGCUGAACAGCAAACGGGAAAAUAUUUUUGCUCACGUGAUGCUAAAAUCCAACUGCCUGCGUCUUCCCCAUGGACCCCAGCUCUGCACCCUGGACCCACAGACUCUGCUUGCUCUGCCUGCCUGGGGAGAGGGGCCGACGGUGUUGAUCUUCUGAGGUCACUCUUCUCCAUGGUGAACAGCUCACCCCUUACAACCACUCCUCAGGGACAUCGCCAACCCAGUGAUGCUGUUCAGGGAGCUCCAGCCCCAUACCCCGAGUUUGUUCACAACCUUCUGGGAGCAUGGAGUCCAGCAGUGUCCCAGAGGUGAUAUGACCAGUACUGUUUCUAAAUUGUCUUUCACCUCCCACCUCCUGGCCACUGCCUCUAUUAAUGUAGCCUCAGAAUGAAUGAGCUUGACCUGGCUUAUAGAGCCAUCAUCUACCAUUGGUGUCAUGCCCUUCCUGGAGCCUAGAGGUGGCCCAGCUGGCAGCCUAGGAACUGAGCCAGGUCAGAAUCCCCAACUUCUUACCAGGAUCCUCCUGACACAGCCCCACGUUAUGGAGCAGAAAAGGAAUCCUGGGCUCUGAAUUCAGGCUGACCUGGGUUGGAGUCCCAUCUCUACAAGUCAGCAUUGAUGUGACCCACUGGAAUUCCUCACCUCUCAAGGCCUCAGUCCACUCUUGGAUAGAAUGGAGAUGAUAACACACGCCUCAUGGAAUCUUUACUUGAUAAAAUUAAGUGCUCAUGGCCAGGAACGGUGGCUCACACCUGUAAUCCCAGCACUUUAGGAGGCCAAGGCAGGCAGACCACUUGAGGUCAGGAGUUCAAGACCAGCCUGGCCAACAUGGUGAAACCCCAUCUCUACUAAAAAUACAAAAAUUAGCCAGGCAUGGUGGCAGGCACCUGUAGUCCCAGCUACUCAGGGGGCAGAGGCACGAGAAUUUCUUGAACACGGGAGGUGGAGGUUGCAGCAGGCCGAGAUCGUGCCACUGCACUCUAGCCAGGGUGACAGGGUGAGACUCUGUCUAAAAAAAAAAAAAAAAAAAUUAAGUGCUUACUGCAGACUAUAUCAAAUGAUGGAGAUGACUGCUCAGAAAGGGGCAGUGGGGAGUGAAGGUGUGUUAAUUACAUUUCACAGCAUGCUGGGCACCAGACUGGGUGUAUCACCCACUGGGGCCCUCCUGUGAGCCUCACAUCAGCCCCUGAGUGGAGAGUAGUCCAGGCAAAACACAGAAAAGUUGCCACUGGAGUCCAGACCUGUGCAAUGUCAGAGCUCUCUCUGGCCCCCAUAUCAUGGCCGCCCACCAAGUUUGCUGAAGUUCUGGGUCUUCCAUCCUCUUCUUUCCCCUGGUAUCCCAGCCAGAAACCUCUCUGAGCCCUGGAGCAACUAUGGCUCCCGUUUGUGGGCCACAUUCCCGGGCCGGCUACAAGCCUCCCUGCCUGGCUUUCUGAGCACCAGUUGUGUGCUGGGUGUUUCCUGCUGCCUGAGGCAGAUCCCUUCCCCAAGGAGCUCCUAUGCCUCUAAUGCUAUCUCCAUGGAGGUAACAGGUAAUGCAACCCUCACAAGUACACAUCACCUUGCAGUUUCCAAAGCCCAUCAUCUAAAUCUCACUGCAACCCUGAGAGGCAGGCAUUAUCCUCCCCAUUUUAUGGGUGAGGAAACUGAAGCUCAGAGAGGCAAGUGGCUGAUCUAGAAAUGCCCAAGUCUGUGCUCCAGGCAACAGAAAGAUCCCCGACUAUCACAGCUUCAUUGUGCACCUGCUCUAGGACACUGAGCAAGUCUUUUCCUCGAUCAGCUCCUCAAUUUCUUGUCAUGAAAGUCAAGGGUUGGACUAGCUGGUUUCUAAAGAGCCUCCAGCUCCUCUCCGAGCCUGUAACACAUGUAAUAAAUGCCACCAUGUCAGGGGAAAGAGAAAUGAUUUCAGGACAGGAUUAGCCAGAAACCAGAGGAACUGGUUUCUGAACUGGGUCUUUAUGGAUACUAGAAUUUGGGUUGGCAGGAAAGUCAUUCUGGAAGGGAAAGUGCAAGUGCAUAUGUAGGAUGGGGGUGACCCAUAGUAAAUUAAACUGACAAGGAAUCUGAGGCUAAGAGAGCUGAGGUUCCCUGUCUCAGGUUAUACAUUCAAUGGUGAAGUUUGCAUUCAAGCCCAGGGUAGGCCGUGCUCCUGCUGUCUGGAUACUAGAAUUCUGGGUCAAAAUACUGAUGCUCAGGGCUCUUCUGCAGAGAUUCUAAUGUAAUUAAUCUUAACCUAGACCUGUCUUGGCAGGAGUGUGCUUGGGGCCUGUGAUUCCUAAGCACUGGUGUCCUUGGGAACCACCCCAUUGAUGUGACCACCUGCCUGAGCCAGUGCCCUGUGCUUCAGACUUGUUCCAUGUCAUCUGUGGGAAGAGGGCUGCUACAAGCCCAUCUGUAGCUGGAAUCACGUGAUGCUAGUAAAGCGAUC